rnacentral:rRNA from 1 species
UACGUAGGGGGCAAGCGUUGUCCGGAAUCAUUGGGCGUAAAGAGCGUGUAGGCGGUUCAGUAAGUCUGCUGUGAAAGUCCAGGGCUCAACCCUGGGAUGCCGGUGGAUACUGCUGGGCUAGAGUACGGAAGAGGCGAGUGGAAUUCCCGGUGUAGCGGUGAAAUGCGCAGAUAUCAGGAGGAACACCGAUGGCGAAGGCAGGUCUCUGGGCAUUAACUGACGCUGAGGAGCGAAAGCAUGGGGAGCGAACAGG